rnacentral:misc_RNA from 1 species
AUAAAUAAACACAAUAAAAACUACCAAGCAUCACCACAACCUAUAUAUGGAGAAAAAUGCAAGUUAAAUGAUAAAAGAACAAUGCUUAUCUUGCAACCUAAGAAACAAUAUUAAACAGUAAUGAGUAUUUGACUAAGAAAGUUAAGAUGUGAAUUAUAGUUAUAAUAUAUUGUUAAUGCAGUCAUAUGAAUGUAAAUGCACUAAACAAACAAAUAACUCAAUCCUCAUAUGUUAGGAUAAGUUGGAGCUACAUAUCAUAAUACAUUUUAAGGGCUGACCCCAUAUCCUGACUCUCUGAAAUUCAACAUGUUCUCUUAUUCCAUUCUUCAAGAGUCAGUGAAAUAUAGUAUUGUACCUACCUCGUAGUGACAAGAGUCAGUGAAUACCUACCCCACCUAUCCAUAUUCACAAGAGUUAGCGAAUUAUUCAAGCCAUACCUACCCUAGGAUUCCACAUCCAUAAUACAUAUAUAAGCUCCAACUUAUUCCCAAUGCGGCACAACAUAGAAAAUUAUAAUGCAACAAAUAGGCGAUGCUCCUGAUAUAAUAACUAAUUACAUAUGUAUAAGUGAAUGCGUGACCAUGUUAAAAAAUGUAAAAUAUAAAAAAUAUAAAUAAUAUUGAAAU